rnacentral:rRNA from 1 species
AGCAGUGGGGAAUAUUGGGCAAUGGGCGAAAGCCUGACCCAGCAACGCCGCGUGAAGGAAGAAGGUCUUCGGAUUGUAAACUUCUUUUAUCAGGGACGAAGGAAGUGACGGUACCUCAUGAAUAAGCCACGGCUAACUACGUGCCAGCAGCCGCGGUAAUACGUAGGUGGCGAGCGUUAUCCGGAUUUACUGGGUGUAAAGGGCGCGUAGGCGGGGAUGCAAGUCAGAUGUGAAAUCUAUGGGCUUAACUCAUAAACUGCAUUUGAAACUGUAUUUCUUGAGUGCUGGAGAGGUAGACGGAAUUCCUUGUGUAGCGGUGAAAUGCGUAGAUAUAAGGAAGAACACCAGUGGCGAAGGCGGUCUACUGGACAGUAACUGACGCUGAGGCGCGAAAGCGUGGGGAGCAAACAGGAUUAGAUACCCGAGUAG